GGGGUGUGCCCAGAGCAGGUGGCCUAAAGAAUGGCUCCUCUGUUUACAACACACCCAACAGGAAUCUGGGGUCAUUGUGACAAGGGGCACAAAACUUGUGACUUCCCUAUGAACAAAUAUCCUACACAU
ensembl:snoRNA